AAAAUGGCGUCGUGCCUGGUUUUGUGCGGCGCACUGGGGUUGCUUUGACCGCUACGGUUCUACGGGUUCCUCCUACGCUCGCCGGCCGGCACAAAAUACGACAUGCAAGAAACCGGAUGCCAAGCCACAAUGAACAACUUAUGACAGUCUUCACUGCAAAAUGGCCCUUCACGAAUCUGCAGUCCCAGGUCAAGAAGUUUGUGAGAAACUCCUACAAGGUGUGCAACAGCACCAAUUUGUGCAGAGAAUAAGCCCUCCAGUUUACCAACAAAAGAGAGUGCUGCCUCAGUUGGCACAGU
rnacentral:lncRNA from 1 species